rnacentral:rRNA from 1 species
UAGGGAAUCUUCCGCAAUGGGCGAAAGCCUGACGGAGCAACGCCGCGUGAGUGAUGAAGGUCUUCGGAUCGUAAAACUCUGUUCUUAGGGAAGAACAAAUGUGUAAGUAACUAUGCACGUCUUGACGGUACCUAAUCAGAAAGCCACGGCUAACUACGUGCCAGCAGCCGCGGUAAUACGUAGGUGGCAAGCGUUAUCCGGAAUUAUUGGGCGUAAAGCGCGCGUAGGCGGUUUUUUAAGUCUGAUGUGAAAGCCCACGGCUCAACCGUGGAGGGUCAUUGGAAACUGGAAAACUUGAGUGCAGAAGAGGAAAGUGGAAUGCCAUGUGUAGCGGUGAAAUGCGCAGAGAUAUGGAGGAACACCAGUGGCGAAGGCGACUUUCUGGUCUGUAACUGACGCUGAUGUGCGAAAGCGUGGGGAUCAAACAGG